CGAUUAGAGUUUGAUCCUGGCUCAGGAUGAACGCUGGCGGCGUGCUUAACACAUGCAAGUCGAACGGAAAGGCCAGUGCUUGCACUGGUACUCGAGUGGCGAACGGGUGAGUAACACGUGGGUGAUCUGCCCUGUACUUCGGGAUAAGCUUGGGAAACUGGGUCUAAUACCGGAUAGGACAACUUUUUGGAUAUUGUUGUGGAAAGCUUUUGCGGUAUGGGAUGAGCUCGCGGCCUAUCAGCUUGUUGGUGGGGUAAUGGCCUACCAAGGCGUCGACGGGUAGCCGGCCUGAGAGGGUGUACGGCCACAUUGGGACUGAGAUACGGCCCAGACUCCUACGGGAGGCAGCAGUGGGGAAUAUUGCACAAUGGGCGCAAGCCUGAUGCAGCGACGCCGCGUGGGGGAUGAAGGCCUUCGGGUUGUAAACUCCUUUCGCUAGGGACGAAGCUUUUUGUGACGGUACCUGGAGAAGAAGCACCGGCUAACUACGUGCCAGCAGCCGCGGUAAUACGUAGGGUGCGAGCGUUGUCCGGAAUUACUGGGCGUAAAGAGCUCGUANGUGGUUUGUCGCGUCGUUUGUGUAAGUCCACAGCUUAA
rnacentral:rRNA from 1 species